CCUUCCCCAGGAGCUGGUACCUGCUCCUGUCUUGAGCACAAGAAAGCACCAGCAUCAAUAGAGAAAAUGUGACCUGAAGCUAGGGAUUCAACAGGCUGAGCUUAUAAGAUCCUGAGCCCGAAUAGUAGUUCCAAAUGCUGGGUUCACUAAGGGUCCACAGGAUAAAAGCCUGGGAAUAUAAAACUACAUUUCCUUGGAGAUGCAGCGCAAAGAAAAGAAAAGACUCCUUUGAUUGUUCAACC
rnacentral:lncRNA from 1 species